rnacentral:tRNA from 1 species
UGCUUUUGUGGCGAAAUUUGGUAUACGCACCAAGUUUAGGCCUUGGCGUUGAAAAACAUGUGGGUUCAAAUCCCACCAAAAGCAA